CCUACGGGAGGCAGCAGUGAGGAAUAUUGGUCAAUGGCCGUAAGGCUGAACCAGCCAAGUCGCGUGAAGGAAGAAGGAUCUAUGGUUUGUAAACUUCUUUUAUAGGGGAAUAACGGUAUCCACGUGUGGAUAUUUGCAUGUACCCUAUGAAUAAGCAUCGGCUAACUCCGUGCCAGCAGCCGCGGUAAUACGGAGGAUGCGAGCGUUAUCCGGAUUUAUUGGGUUUAAGGGGUGCGUAGGUUGUUUUUUAAGUCAGCGGUAAAAAUGCGGUGCUCAACGCCGUAUCGCCGUUGAAACUGCAGGUCUUGAGUGAGCGAGAAGUAUGCGGAAUGCGUGGUGUAGCGGUGAAAUGCAUAGAUAUCACGCAGAACUCCGAUUGCGAAGGCAGCAUACCGGCGCUCAACUGACGCUGAGGCACGAAAGCGUGGGGAUCGAACAGGAUUAGAUACCCUUGUAGUC
rnacentral:rRNA from 1 species